UGCUUCCUUUAGCAGAUUAUGUGCUAAAAUUGGAACAAUGCAGACUGGCGUGCUCCCCAUUUAAGGAUGACAUGCAAAUUCAUGAAUAGCUCCAAUUUUUU
rnacentral:snRNA from 1 species